rnacentral:rRNA from 1 species
GAUGAACGCUGGCGGCGUGCUUAACACAUGCAAGUCGAACGGAAAGGCUCCUGCUUGCAGGGGUACUCGAGUGGCGAACGGGUGAGUAACACGUGGGUGAUCUGCCCUGCACUUCGGGAUAAGCCUGGGAAACUGGGUCUAAUACCGGAUAGGACGAUGGUUUGGAUGCCAUUGUGGAAAGUUUUUCGGUGUGGGAUGAGCUCGCGGCCUAUCAGCUUGUUGGUGGGGUAAUGGCCUACCAAGGCGUCGACGGGUAGCCGGCUUGAGAGGGUGUACGGCCACAUUGGGACUGAGAUACGGCCCAGACUCCUACGGGAGGCAGCAGUGGGGAAUAUUGCACAAUGGGCGCAAGCCUGAUGCAGCGACGCCGCGUGGGGGAUGACGGCCUUCGGGUUGUAAACUCCUUUCGCUAGGGACGAAGCGCAAGUGACGGUACCUGGAGAAGAAGCACCGGCUAACUACGUG